GCUCCGGUGGGCGCGGAGGGGGAGGGUCGCGUUCUGUCAGUUUCUAGCUCGCUCCCCUCAGAGCUGCAGCCAAAACCCGGAGAGUGGAAUAAGCGCCCUGAAGAUGCCGGAGCUCCCGGCUGAGCAACUGGACACGCGACGAACAGCAGACGCUACAGGUUCUCCUACCCAGAGGGAGGCGUUUCUUCUCCCUCAGGGUCUUUCAAAAGGAUUUGCCUAAAGCUGGGGCAAGCCGGUGGCGGCUGCCCCAGACGCGCGACGAGGCGCAAGUGGCGCAGCUGCCGGCCCGAGAGAGUAAAAUUCAGGCCGCGGUGGCACCUGCGCCCGCCGGUCACCCGGCCACCGCCAGCGCCGCCGCCCGGCGCGCCCCUCCCCUCCGCCGGGGCCGGAGCGUGAACCGGGUUAAUGAAUGCUAAUUUUCUUAAUCGGCCUCCGUCUCUUCCUCCUCCGCGAGUCGUCGGCCUGGGGAAGGAGUAGGCGACAGGAAAGGGCGGUGUUUUCCGGCUGGGAGGUCCCAGCCCGCAUGGUCAGCCAGGGGAGGGGGCUGGGACCCCUGGGAGUCGGACGCUGGGGGCCUGGCCUCUGCCCUGAGACUCUCGGGUUGGAUGGAAAUCCUGGCACAACGCGGAGAACCUCCCGGAUACCUUGGCUUUGCCGAGAGAUAUCAGCUUCAGGUCAUCACCGCGGUGCCCUGGGUCUGUCUGAAACCUUAGAGGGUGCGCCUUAAGCCGAUGUUGUAAACCCAGGCUGACUUUAAGGUGAAGUGAAAAGGAAACGCACACAAUCUGGAAAGCAAAAUACUUGGGUGGGGUGUUAAAAGCCUCAAAGAAAAAUAGUAGUUGGCAGGUCAAAUGGCCAUGAGGUUGGAAGUCAAAUACGAAACUCGGCUGAAGUGAUGUUAGAAGUUUGACAAGCAAAAACAGUCCGUGAAGAUAAGAGACCCAGCAUUGUUUCCCUUCUUCAAA
rnacentral:lncRNA from 1 species